CCCUAAUUCCUAACAUUUGCCUUACCCCUGUCGGCCUCUCCUCUCCAGCACGCAGAAGCAGAAGUGCAGAACGCGAAGCAGCAGUGCAGCAGUGCAGCAGUUGGAGCUUCUGUCGCAACUUCUGUCAGCCACCACCGCCGCCGCGUAGUCCAUGAAGCUAACGUCAGUCACCUCUGUUCGCGGCUUUGCGCAGCCAUUUUUCGUCGCGCAGAGAGCUCGGAAAUCAGAACCACCGCCAGCACCGCUUUCCAUCGCGCAGUGUAUUCCCGUCGGCACCAAGUCUGUUUCCCCCUUCCACCCAUCAGCCACUGUCUUGCCUCUUGCUAGCCACCGUCCCCGCCAGCUCUGUAUUUUUUCAAGCUUCCAGCUUCUAACCCUAGGUAUAAUUUUUGUUCUUUGUAAUAAUAAUAGUUGAAGUCUCUGUCAGUCUGUCUCCCUCCUGCAUGCUCUGUUGAAGGCGUCUUCGAGCUUUCAGGUAAUUUUUUGAACUGUGAACUGAAGGCGUCUUGAUCACUCUGCUCCUUGUCUCUGUCCCUCGUUACAAUGAUUGUUUGAUUGAAUAACUGUUGUAUGUCUCUGUCUCCCUAAUGAGUAUGAUUUAAUAAUUGUUUGAAUCUAUGAAGCUCUGUGAACUGAAGUCACUGAAGUCUGAUAUACUGAUAAUCUGAUAUAGUGAUACUGAACUGUGAAGUGUGAAGGCUGUGAAGCUCUGUGAAGUGUGAACUGAACUGAACUGUGAACUUUGUUUAAGCGUACUUGAUUCAUAAGCGUACUUGAUUUAUAAUUCUACUUUCUUUGCAAUUGUUUCUAAGCGUACUUGAUUUUCUGGAUUUAGAGUUAUUUUUUAUUGAAUUUCUGGAUUUGAAUUUUGAAUUUGUGUUUGAUCUGCAAUUUCUGUUUGAUUCUUCUUAUUGUUGUUGUGAUUGAAAUUCAAAAUUAAAAUCUGAUUCCUCUUCUUCGUCAUAUUCUAGACUUGUUCAUUAUCUUUGUAUUUAAGUGAGCAAUUAUAAUCUGUUAUCUGGUUAUAUUACUCUUCUAGGACAAACUCUAGUGAUGGCUCAAGGCAGGAGAAAUAUGGAAUGACUAACAAACCCCGAGGAGAGCCUGAGGAUGCGCAACGAUCGAACAAAGGUGAAAGAGGUGUCUUCUGAAGUAUCAAAGUAUAUCCACUGGAACCAAAUGACAAGAGACUUAAUUAUGAACCACCUACAGAUUUAGUUAGCAAGCUGUCCCUGGUUUUUGAAGUGAAAAAAUCUGCAAAACUGCCAUCUAAGGUGCAGCCAAUUUCCUAGAUUCAGCUAUCUCAGCACUCAUAUAACAACUUAAGAUUCUUUUGAGUGGGUAAAGGUUUAUUGAAAGAGAUUCAGAAAAGCAUUUUCUUUGAAUGA